UACGAAGGGUGCAAGCGUUAAUCGGAAUUACUGGGCGUAAAGGGCGCGUAGGCGGUUUCUUAAGUUUGGAGUGACAGUGGGUGGCUUAACUACCCAAGGCCUCUGAAAACUGGGGAACUUGAGGACCAGAGAGGGACAUAGAAUUCCGGGUGGAGUGGUGAAAUGCGUAGAUAUCCGGAGGAAUACCAAAGGCGAAGGCAGUGUCCUGGAGGGUGACUGACGCUGAGGCGCGAAAGCUAGGGGAGCGAACAGG
rnacentral:rRNA from 1 species